rnacentral:rRNA from 1 species
AUUGAACGCUGGCGGCAUGCCUUACACAUGCAAGUCGAACGGCAGCACGGGAGCAAUCCUGGUGGCGAGUGGCGAACGGGUGAGUAAAGUAUCGGAACGUGCCCAGUCGUGGGGGAUAACGUAGCGAAAGUUACGCUAAUACCGCAUACGAUCUAUGGAUGAAAGCGGGGGAUCGCAAGACCUCGCGCGAUUGGAGCGGCCGAUAUCAGAUUAGGUAGUUGGUGGGGGAAAGGCUCACCAAGCCGACUAUCUGUAGCUGGUCUUGGAGGACGACCAGCCACACUGGGACUGAGACACGGCCCAGACUCCUACGGGAGGCAGCAGUGGGGAAUUUUGGACAAUGGGCGAAAGCCUGAUCCAGCCAUGCCGCGUGCAGGAUGAAGGCCUUCGGGUUGUAAACUGCUUUUGUACGGAACGAAAAGGUUUGGCCUAAUAAGCUGAGCUCAUGACGGUACCGUAAGAAUAAGCACCGGCUAACUACGUGCCAGCAGCCGCGGUAA